ensembl:lncRNA
ACACAAAGAGACAGACAGACAUGCAGUAAGAGAGACAGACAAGCAGGCAGACAAAAGAGAGAGAGAGAGAGAGAGAGAGAGAGAGAGAGACAUAUAGACACAAAGAGAGACAGACAGACAUGCAGUAAGAGAGACAGACAAGCAGGCAGACAAAAAGAGACAGACAGACAUGCAGUAAGAGAGACAGACAAGCAGGCAGACAAAAAGAGACAGACAGACAUGCAGUAAGAGAGACAGACAAGCAGGCAGACAAAAAGAGAGAGAGAGAAAGAGAGAGAGAGAGACAGACAUAUAGACACAAGAGAGACAGACAGACAUGCAGUGAGAGAGACAGACAAGCAGGAGAGCAAAAAGAGAGAGAGAGAGAGAGAGAGAGAGA